rnacentral:rRNA from 1 species
UGAGGAAUUUUCCGCAAUGGGCGCAAGCCUGACGGAGCGACGCCGCGUGAGGGAUGAAGGCUUUCGGGUUGUAAACCUCUUUUGCAGGGGAAAAAGGUGCAUGUAUUCAUACCACAUGUAUUUGAUGGUACUUUGCGAAUAAGCCCCGGCUAACUACGUGCCAGCAGCCGCGGUAAUACGUAGGGGGCGAGCGUUGUCCGGAGUUACUGGGCGUAAAGGGCGUGUAGGCGGUUGGAUAAGUCUGAUGUGAAAUGCCAUGGCUCAACUGUGGCGCUGCGUUGGAAACUGUCUGACUGGAGUUCGGUAGGGGUCACUGGAAUCCCCGGUGUAACGGUGAAAUGUGUAGAUAUCGGGGGGAACACCUGUGGCGAAGGCGGGUGACUGGGCCGUAACUGACGCUGAGACGCGAAAGCGUGGGGAGCAAACAGG